rnacentral:rRNA from 1 species
AGCCCAGAGCCUGAAUCAGUGUGUGUGUUAGUGGAAGCGUCUGGAAAGGCGCGCGAUACAGGGUGACAGCCCCGUACACAAAAAUGCACAUACUGUGAGCUCGAUGAGUAGGGCGGGACACGUGGUAUCCUGUCUGAAUAUGGGGGGACCAUCCUCCAAGGCUAAAUACUCCUGACUGACCGAUAGUGAACCAGUACCGUGAGGGAAAGGCGAAAAGAACCCCGGCGAGGGGAGUGAAAAAGAACCUGAAACCGUGUACGUACAAGCAGUGGGAGCCUCUUAAUGGGGUGACUGCGUACCUUUUGUAUAAUGGGUCAGCGACUUAUAUUCUGUAGCAAGGUUAACCGAAUAGGGGAGCCGAAGGGAAACCGAGUCUUAACUGGGCGUUAAGUUGCAGGGUAUAGACCCGAAACCCGGUGAUCUAGCCAUGGGCAGGUUGAAGGUUGGGUAACACUAACUGGAGGACCGAACCGACUAAUGUUGAAAAAUUAGCGGAUGACUUGUGGCUGGGGGUGAAAGGCCAAUCAAACCGGGAGAUAGCUGGUUCUCCCCGAAAGCUAUUUAGGUAGCGCCUCGUGAAUUCAUCUCCGGGGGUAGAGCACUGUUUCGGCAAGGGGGUCAUCCCGACUUACCAACCCGAUGCAAACUGCGAAUACCGGAGAAUGUUAUCACGGGAGACACACGGCGGGUGCUAACGUCCGUCGUGAAGAGGGAAACAACCCAGACCGCCAGCUAAGGUCCCAAAGUCAUGGUUAAGUGGGAAACGAUGUGGGAAGGCCCAGACAGCCAGGAUGUUGGCUUAGAAGCAGCCAUCAUUUAAAGAAAGCGUAAUAGCUCACUGGUCGAGUCGGCCUGCGCGGAAGAUGUAACGGGGCUAAACCAUGCACCGAAGCUGCGGCAGCGACACUGUGUGUUGUUGGGUAGGGGAGCGUUCUGUAAGCCUGUGAAGGUGUACUGUGAGGUAUGCUGGAGGUAUCAGAAGUGCGAAUGCUGACAUAAGUAACGAUAAAGCGGGUGAAAAGCCCGCUCGCCGGAAGACCAAGGGUUCCUGUCCAACGUUAAUCGGGGCAGGGUGAGUCGACCCCUAAGGCGAGGCCGAAAGGCGUAGUCGAUGGGAAACAGGUUAAUAUUCCUGUACUUGGUGUUACUGCGAAGGGGGGACGGAGAAGGCUAUGUUGGCCGGGCGACGGUUGUCCCGGUUUAAGCGUGUAGGCUGGUUUUCCAGGCAAAUCCGGAAAAUCAAGGCUGAGGCGUGAUGACGAGGCACUACGGUGCUGAAGCAACAAAUGCCCUGCUUCCAGGAAAAGCCUCUAAGCAUCAGGUAACAUCAAAUCGUACCCCAAACCGACACAGGUGGUCAGGUAGAGAAUACCAAGGCGCUUGAGAGAACUCGGGUGAAGGAACUAGGCAAAAUGGUGCCGUAACUUCGGGAGAAGGCACGCUGAUAUGUAGGUGAAGUCCCUCGCGGAUGGAGCUGAAAUCAGUCGAAGAUACCAGCUGGCUGCAACUGUUUAUUAAAAACACAGCACUGUGCAAACACGAAAGUGGACGUAUACGGUGUGACGCCUGCCCGGUGCCGGAAGGUUAAUUGAUGGGGUUAGCGGUAACGCGAAGCUCUUGAUCGAAGCCCCGGUAAACGGCGGCCGUAACUAUAACGGUCCUAAGGUAGCGAAAUUCCUUGUCGGGUAAGUUCCGACCUGCACGAAUGGCGUAAUGAUGGCCAGGCUGUCUCCACCCGAGACUCAGUGAAAUUGAACUCGCUGUGAAGAUGCAGUGUACCCGCGGCAAGACGGAAAGACCCCGUGAACCUUUACUAUAGCUUGACACUGAACAUUGAGCCUUGAUGUGUAGGAUAGGUGGGAGGCUUUGAAGUGUGGACGCCAGUCUGCAUGGAGCCG